rnacentral:rRNA from 1 species
UACGGAGGGUGCAAGCGUUAUCCGGAUUUACUGGGUUUAAAGGGCGUGUAGGCGGGCUUUUAAGUCAGUGGUGAAAUCUCCGGGCUCAACCUGGAAACUGCCAUUGAUACUAUUAGUCUUGAAUUCUGUUGAGGUAGGCGGAAUAAGUCAUGUAGCGGUGAAAUGCAUAGAUAUGACUUAGAACACCAAUUGCGAAGGCAGCUUACUAAGCAGAUAUUGACGCUGAGGCACGAAAGCGUGGGGAUCAAACAGG